GUGGGGGAUAUUGCACAAUGGAGGAAACUCUGAUGCAGCGACGCCGCGUGAGGGAAGACGGUCUUCGGAUUGUAAACCUCUGUCUUUGGGGAAGAAAAUGACGGUACCCAAAGAGGAAGCUCCGGCUAACUACGUGCCAGCAGCCGCGGUAAUACGUAGGGAGCGAGCGUUGUCCGGAAUUACUGGGUGUAAAGGGAGCGUAGGCGGGCGAGAAAGUUGAAUGUUAAAUCUACCGGCUUAACUGGUAGCUGCGUUCAAAACUUCUUGUCUUGAGUGAAGUAGAGGCAGGCGGAAUUCCUAGUGUAGCGGUGAAAUGCGUAGAUAUUAGGAGGAACACCAGUGGCGAAGGCGGCCUGCUGGGCUUUAACUGACGCUGAGGCUCGAAAGCGUGGGGAGCAAACAGGA
rnacentral:rRNA from 1 species